AACGAACGCUGGCGGCGUGGAUAAGACAUGCAAGUCGAACGGGACAGACCGAGUAGCAAUAUUUGGAAUGCUCAGUGGCGAACGGGUGCGUAACACGUGGAUAACAUUCCGGAAAGCGGGGAAUAGCCCAGGGAAACUUGGAUUAAUACCGCAUGUGGCCGCAAGGCUAAAGACGGGGACCGCAAGGCCUGUCACUUUCCGAUUGGUCCGCGGCCUAUCAGCUAGUUGGCGGGGUAAUGGCCCCCCAAGGCUACGACGGGUAGCUGGUCUUAGAGGACGACCAGCCACAGUGGAACUGAGACACGGUCCAGACACCUACGGGUGGCAGCAGUCGAGAAUCUUUCACAAUGGGGGCAACCCUGAUGGAGCGACGCCACGUGGAGGAUAAGGUCUUCGGAUUGUAAACUCCUGUCAUGCGAGAACAAGGUACUCAGGCUAAUAACCUGAUUGUUUGAUGGUACCGCAAGAGGAAGAGACGGCUAACUCUGUGCCAGCCGCCGCCGUAACAC
rnacentral:rRNA from 1 species